AAUAAAUUUAAAUAUGGUUUAAAAUUUAUAUUAAUUUUUAUUUUAUAUAUGAAUUUAGAAAUUUUUUAUAGUAAAGUAGUAUGUAAAUUUAAAUUUAAAAGGAAUUUUGAUUUAGUAAUAAAUUUAAUUUUAAACAAAAUUUGUGCCAGCAGUUGCGGUUAUACAAAUUAAAAAAUAUAAAUUUUUUAAUUGAAAUAAAUUUUCAAAGUUUCAAAUAAAUCAUUUUUUUAUAAAGGUGAAAUUUUAAAAAAAAAUAAAAAUUAAAAAAGUUAAUGAUUUAAAAAAUUUUAAUUAUAAACUAGGAUUAGAUACCCUAUUAUUUAAAAUGUAAAUUUAAAUUAAAUUAUUAAUAGUUAUGUUCUUAAAAGUUAAAUAUUUUGGCGGUAUUUUAUUCUAUUCAGAGGAACCUGUUCUGUAAAUGAUAAUCCACGAUUAAAUUAACUUUAAUUAGAAAUUUACAUAUCGUCGUUAUUAAUAUUUUUUUAGAAUUGAAUAUUAAAAAUUAUUAAUUAAUUAAAAAAUCAGAUCAAGAUGUAAUUUAUAUUAAAGGAGAAAUGGGUUACAUUAAAAUAAAAUGAAUAAAAAAUUGUGAAUUUUUUUGAAAAAGGAUUUGAAAGUAAUUUAAUGUUAAUUUUUAAAUGAUUUAGUUCUAAAAUAUGUACAUAUUGCCCGUCGCUUUCAUAAAAAAUGAAAUAAGUCGUAACAAAGUAGGUUUACUGGAAAGUGUAUCUAGAAGCAA
rnacentral:ncRNA from 1 species